ACAAAGACCUGUUGAAGCAAAUUUCAGUAACGAAAAGUUUGAAACGUCAGCGCCAUCUACCUUACAAAAUAAUAGGCUUGUUUCAGUGGUUGGCAGCAGACAUUUACGACAGAAAACCCCGCCACUCAUACUUGAAACUUCUUAGUCAACAAUGGGUGUGAUCGCUUCCACUACUUUAAACUUUCUCUUCAUCAUUUAUUAGUGAUUUUCAGUAUAAUACAACAUGCCUUCGAGACAUGGCCCGUAGUGUGAGUGACAUAGAAUACCAAGCUUUGGAAGAACUUGGGGUAUGUGAAGAGGUGGAUAACAUAAUCCGUUCGACCCAACCAACACAGGCAGACGCUGAAGAAGAAGAAACUUUUGACAGUCAGCCAGGACCAUUGUUGCCUUUGAUCCCCAAAGUUGAAUUGUGUGGGUAUAAAUUACAGGUGACGAGUAAAGAAAGAAGAUGUAGAGGCCAACCAGCAAAGUGGGUAACUUGUCCUCCUAACGGAUGUAAGGUAAUUGUAUCACUACUUUCAAUAACAAGGAUAUUAACAUUGUUUAAUUUUCUGAUUCC